CUUUUUUUUCUUCUUUUUCUCCUUCUCCCCAAAACCCCCAGUACACAGUUGUAUAUUCUAGCUGUAGGUCCUUCUGGUUGUGCUAUGUGGGACGCUGCCUCAGCAUGGCCUCAUGAGUGGUGCCAUGUCCGCCCCCAAGAUCCGAACCAGCGAAACCCUGGGCCACCAAAGCAGAGCGUGCGAACUUAACCACUCGGCCUUGGGGUUGGCCCUAUGCUUGCUUUUUUUUCAAGUCUAUUAACCUUUGUAAUCCCAGUUUCAUGAUCUACUUUUAACAACGUUCAGCUAGAAUGGGUUAUAUAAUUAUGUUCAGCUUCACUUAUAGUCACUGAUCAGUCCAGACGGCCACCGUGAGUCCCAGCUCCAAUCAGUUAUACAGCAGAUAAUAUCCUAAGUGACUUACUCAUUCAUGUAUGUUAUCUUUCUGGACAAUUUUGGAGGCCUAAAAUAUUUCAGAGAAGCCACGAAUUAGAUAUCCAGAUAAUAUACCAUGCUCAUUUUUAUCAUAUAUCCACUAAUUAUAUCCCAGCUGGAGCCCUAGCAGAGGUUUCUUUUUUCAAGCUGGCUUCUGUCCUUAAUCUGGCUGACCUUGAGUGAGGCAUCUAACCCCUCUGGACCUCCUAUUAAGAGAAUUGAGGUAGAAAAUCUCCAAGAACAAUUCUCACUUCAAAACUGCCCUUUACUUUUUACAACUUGGGUAUCCUCAACAUUCAUAUUUACUCCCAAAGGAGUAUUUACUCUAGACCCCUGCCUGUUUUUUCCAAUUUAGAUUGGGUAUUUUGGAAGGAAACCUGAAAAUCUCCUUCACCGUUUCGCUUGGGCCUAGAGUCAGCCCUUAGAAGUCCUAAAUUGUCCAAAGCAAAAGUAUGUCUUAAUAAAAAGGAAACCCUCCUUCCUUACCCAGCCUCUAAAUUCACUUCUUCCCCAUGCAUGCCUGAAGCCCCACACCCUCCAGUUUUUCUGGGAUUGUAAUAUUUUCACUCUUCCAGACCAAACACCUUUCUCUCUAAACGUUGUGUUUUCUACUUCUAAGAAAGGAAGAAGACGUCAGCUACCACCUCUGCUUCAAAUGACUCUUCUGCUUCUCUCUGGUGACCCUUUUCCGCUCACUCGUCCUUCCCUGCAUGCCUUCAGAGUCUGAGAACUCUCAAUCUAGCCAAACAACCAGACUCAAAGAUGCAAGAACCUGAAAAGCAAAGUGGACUCUGGAAUAAGCAAAACAAUCUUCUCUUUUUCAGACCAUGUUUCCUCCCCAAUUGUUAAACUAUGAACAUUUUCAAAUACACGAAAAAGUUGAAAUAAAAUGAACACCUGAAUGGCUACCA
rnacentral:lncRNA from 1 species